UGCUGAUGCAUUUCCAGCUAUUUUCUCUGCACCGAAAGUCACUCCACCGUGAGCUUCCCCUUUCUCUCCUCUAGCUUCCUUCCAGGGAUGGAAGGCUGUCUGAGCUAGAUAUCACAUCCACCGAAAGCUCUUCCUCCACCUAAAUCAACCACUAAAUCCACUGAACCAUGUUUCUUCCGCUGCUAGUUGCAUUUAGUGAGCAUACUUCACCUCUGCUCAUGGAUUCAUCACCCAUUCGGCUGCUUCAAUAUCUCCCAUGGCUGGAACGUACUCUAUCAAGCGGUCUCCCUAAGCCCUAACACUCUUCUUUCACUUUCAAGAGCAUUUUAAAGGGAUUUCCUCACUUUCUCAUUCACCCACUCACCAAAAAUUCAAUUUUCCACCAUUACUUUGUCAAAGUUUGGGGUUUUUGGUUGAGGGAUUUGCAUUGGAGAGGACAUACAUCAUCAAUUAAGAAAUUUUUCUGCAAGCAUUCAUAAUCUUCUCUCAAGUAAGUAUGCAAAUUCAUUAUUUGGGGUUUCUAAUUUGGGAUUUCUAAUUUGGGAUUUGUUGAAGAACAUGUUUAGGAAUAUGAUAGAUUAGGGCUUUUGAUUUCUAUGCAUGAAUUGAUAGAAUAUGAACUGUUUGAACCGAUUGAAUUGCAUUAUUUUUGUAUGGAUUGAUGAUUUUAGCAAAAGAGUGGAGAUUAGGAACAAAUAGGCAAAGAUUUUGAAAAACCCUAGCUUCCAUCGCUGAGCGGUAUGUUUUGGUGUCGAGCGGUGGCGCGGCUUGAGG
rnacentral:lncRNA from 1 species